rnacentral:rRNA from 1 species
CCUGAUCCAGCGACGCCGCGUGAAGGAAGAAGUCCUUCGGGAUGUAAACUUCUGAACUAAUCGGAUAAAAGGGUAGUGGACACACUACAGAAGAAGGUAGAUUAGGAAAAGUCCCGGCUAACUACGUGCCAGCAGCCGCGGUAAGACGUAGGGGGCGAGCGUUGCCCGGAAUCACUGGGUGUAAAGGGGACGUAGGCGGGUGAUCAAGUCAUCUGUGAAAAGAUUGCUCAACGAUUGGCUUGCGGAUGAAACUGAUCAUCUUGGGCGUAGCAGAGGUAGACGGAAUUACCUGAGUAGGGGUGAAAUCCGCAGAUACAGGUAAGAAGGCCGGUGAAGAAGUUGGUCUACUGGGCUACAGCUGACGCUGAGGUCCGAAAGCCAG